GAUGAACGCUGGCGGCGUGCCUAAUACAUGCAAGUCGAGCGAACAGACGAGGAGCUUGCUCCUCUGACGUUAGCGGCGGACGGGUGAGUAACACGUGGAUAACCUACCUAUAAGACUGGGAUAACUUCGGGAAGCCGGAGCUAAUACCGGAUAAUAUAUUGAACCGCAUGGUUCAAUAGUGAAAGACGGUUUUGCUGUCACUUAUAGAUGGAUCCGCGCCGCAUUAGCUAGUUGGUAAGGUAACGGCUUACCAAGGCAACGAUGCGUAGCCGACCUGAGAGGGUGAUCGGCCACACUGGAACUGAGACACGGUCCAGACUCCUACGGGAGGCAGCAGUAGGGAAUCUUCCGCAAAGGGCGAAAGCUUGACGGAGCAACGCCGCGUGAGUGAUGAAGGUCUUCGGAUCGUAAAACUCUGUUAUUAGGGAAGAACAAAUGUGUAAGUAACUAUGCACGUCUUGACGGUACCUAAUCAGAAAGCCACGGCUAACUACGUG
rnacentral:rRNA from 1 species